rnacentral:snRNA from 1 species
GGAUGUGAGGGUGAUCUGGCUGCAGCAUCUGUCACCCUAUUGAUCACCAGUGUUGAUUCAGCUGACCCGGGUGGCUAAGUGGGCGUCUCCUUCUCCCUCACCACAGCACCCUGUGCGUCCCUCCCAAAGGCACACACUUUGUUGCAGAGAACAACCUGCCUUUAAUUGAGGAGGGCUGGUCUUGGGUCAAGAGUAUAUGCCUAGCUGCACCCCCUUGCUGGAACCUCCAAACAAGCUCCAAAGAUGACCAUGGCUACUGGAUUAAGAGUGGACUACAGCUGGG